AAAAAGGUUUUUCUAAAAACCAAUAUUUUAUACCUAGAAACCCUUU
rfam:Picea glauca, whole genome shotgun sequence.